rnacentral:rRNA from 1 species
AUUGAACGCUGGCGGCAUGCCUUACACAUGCAAGUCGAACGGCAGCGGGGGAGAAGCUUGCUUUUCCUGCCGGCGAGUGGCGAACGGGUGAGUAAUACAUCGGAACGUGCCCUGUAGUGGGGGAUAACUAGUCGAAAGAUUAGCUAAUACCGCAUACGACCUGAGGGUGAAAGUGGGGGACCGCAAGGCCUCAUGCUAUAGGAGCGGCCGAUGUCUGAUUAGCUAGUUGGUGGGGUAAAGGCCUACCAAGGCGACGAUCAGUAGCUGGUCUGAGAGGACGAUCAGCCACACUGGGACUGAGACACGGCCCAGACGCCUACGGGAGGCAGCAGUGGGGAAUCUUGGACAAUGGGCGAGAGCCUGAUCCAGCAAUGCCGCGUGUGUGAAGAAGGCCUUCGGGUUGUAAAGCGCUUUUGUCCGGAAAGAAAUGGCUCUGGUUAAUACCUGGGGUCGAUGACGGUACCGGAAGAAUAAGGACCGGCUAACUACGUGCCAGCAGCCGCAGUAAAAC